rnacentral:rRNA from 1 species
CCUACGGGAGGCAGCAGUGGGGAAUAUUGGACAAUGGGGGCAACCCUGAUCCAGCCAUGCCGCGUGUGUGAAGAAGGCCCUCGGGUUGUAAAGCACUUUCAGUGAGGAAGAACGCCUGGUGGUUAAUACCCAUCAGGAAAGACAUCACUCACAGAAGAAGCACCGGCUAACUCCGUGCCAGCAGCCGCGGUAAUACGGAGGGUGCGAGCGUUAAUCGGAAUUACUGGGCGUAAAGCGCGCGUAGGUGGCUUGAUAAGCCGGUUGUGAAAGCCCCGGGCUCAACCUGGGAACGGCAUCCGGAACUGUCAAGCUAGAGUGCAGGAGAGGAAGGUAGAAUUCCCGGUGUAGCGGUGAAAUGAGUAGAGAUCGGGAGGAAUACCAGUGGCGAAGGCGGCCUUCUGGACUGACACUGACACUGAGGUGCGAAAGCGUGGGUAGCAAACAGGAUUAGAUACCCGAGUAGUC